UGGGAAUUGCGUUUGAAACUGCAGAACUAGAGUGCGGCAGAGGGAGGUGGAAUUCCAUGUGUAGCAGUGAAAUGCGUAGAGAUAUGGAAGAACAUCGAUGGCGAAGGCAACCUCCUGGGCUAGCACUGACGCUCAUGCACGAAAGCGUGGGGAGCAAACAGGAUUAGAUACCCUGGUAGUCCACGCCCUAAACUAUGUCAACUAGUUGUCGGGUCUUAUUGGGCUUGGUAACGUAGCUAACGCGUGAAGUUGACCGCCUGGGGAGUACGGUCGCAAGAUUAAAACUCAAAGGAAUUGACGGGGACCCGCACAAGCGGUGGAUUAUGUGGGUUAAUUCGAUGCAACGCGAAAAACCUUACCUACCCUUGACAUGUCAGAAAGUUUCCAGAGAUGGAAUCGUGCUCGAAAGAGAAUUUGAACACAGGUGCUGCAUGGCUGUNGUCAGCUCGUGUCGUGAGAUGUUGGGUUAAGUCCCGCAACGAGCGCAACCCUUGUCAUUAAUUGCCAUCAUUUAGUUGGGCACUUUAAUGAGACUGCCGGUGAUAAACCGGAGGAAGGUGGGGAUGACGUCAAGUCCUCAUGGCCCUUA
rnacentral:rRNA from 1 species